AUUGAACGCUGGCGGGAGGGCGAACACAUGCAAGUCGAGCGGAUGAAGGGAGCUUGCUCCUGGAUUCAGCGGCGGACGGGUGAGUAAUGCCUAGGAAUCUGCCUGGUAGUGGGGGAUAACGUCCGGAAACGGGCGCUAAUACCGCAUACGUCCUGAGGGAGAAAGUGGGGGAUCUUCGGACCUCACGCUAUCAGAUGAGCCUAGGUCGGAUUAGCUAGUUGGUGGGGUAAAGGCCUACCAAGGCGACGAUCCGUAACUGGUCUGAGAGGAUGAUCAGUCACACUGGAACUGAGACACGGUCCAGACUCCUACGGGAGGCAGCAGUGGGGAAUAUUGGACAAUGGGCGAAAGCCUGAUCCAGCCAUGCCGCGUGUGUGAAGAAGGUCUUCGGAUUGUAAAGCACUUUAAGUUGGGAGGAAGGGCAGUAAGUUAAUACCUUGCUGUUUUGACGUUACCAACAGAAUAAGCACCGGCUAACUUCGUG
rnacentral:rRNA from 1 species